rnacentral:rRNA from 1 species
GGGUGAGUAACACGUGGAUAACCUACCUAUAAGACUGGGAUAACUUCGGGAAACCGGAGCUAAUACCGGAUAAUAUUUUGAACCGCAUGGUUCAAAAGUGAAAGACGGUCUUGCUGUCACUUAUAGAUGGAUCCGCGCUGCAUUAGCUAGUUGGUAAGGUAACGGCUUACCAAGGCAACGAUGCAUAGCCGACCUGAGAGGGUGAUCGGCCACACUGGGACUGAGACACGGCCCAG